rnacentral:rRNA from 1 species
AUUGAACGCUGGCGGCAGGCCUAACACAUGCAAGUCGAGCGAGUGGCGGACGGGUGAGUAAUGUAUGGGCAUCUGCCUGAUGGAGGGGGAUAACUACUGGAAACGGUAGCUAAUACCGCAUACCAUCAGAUGUGCCCAUAUGGGAUUAGCUAGUUGGUGGGGUAACGGCUCACCUAGGCGACGAUCCCUAGCUGGUCUGAGAGGAUGACCAGCCACACUGGAACUGAGACACGGUCCAGACUCCUACGGGAGGCAGCAGUGGGGAAUAUUGCACAAUGGGCGCAAGCCUGAUACAGCCAUGCCGCGUGUAUGAAGAAGGCCUUCGGGUUGUAAAGUACUUUCAGUCGGGAGGCGUUACCCGCAGAAGAAGCACCGGCUAACUCCGUGCCAGCAGCCGCGGUAAUAC